CUUGAGAGAGGUAACCUCGAGAAGGGCACUGAGAUACUGGCCCUAGCCCUACGGGGUGCAGCAGGCGCGGAACCUUUACAAUGCACGAAAGUGUGAUAAGGGAAUCCCAAGUGCCUUACUUUUAGUAAGGCUUUUGCCAUGUGUAAAAAGCAUGGCGAAUAAGUGGUGGGUAAGACUUGUGCCAGCCGCCGCGGUAACACCAGCGCCACAAGUGGCAACCGCUUUUAUUGGGCCUAAAGCGUCCGUAGCCGGUUCAGUAAAUUUUCUGUGAAAUCGUUGGGCUUAACCUAACGUCGUGCAGGAAACACUGCUGAACUAGGGACCGGGAGGCGUCAGAGGUAUUCCUGAGGGAGCGGUAAAAUGCUAUAAUCUCAGGAGGACCCCCUGUGGCGAAAGCGUCUGACGAGAACGGAUCCGACGGUGAGGGACGAAAGCUAGGGGAGCAAACCGGAUUAGAUACCCGAGUAGUCCUAGCUGUAAACUCUGCGAGCUAGGUGUUACGUAUUCUUCGGGAAUACGUAGUGUCGAAGCGAAGGUGUUAAGCUCGCCGCCUGGGAAGUAUGGUCGCAAGACUGAAACUUAAAGGAAUUGGCGGGGGAGCACUACAAGGGGUGCGGCGUGCGGUUUAAUCUAAUUCAACACAGAGAAUCUCACCAGAAGCGACGGCAGGAUGAAGGUCAGGUUAAAGGCCUUACCCAACAAGCCGAGAGGUAGUGCAUGGCCGUCGUCAGCUCGUGCCGUAAGGUGUCCUGUUAAGUCAGGCAACGAGCGAGACCUAUACUUACAAUUGCUAACAAGCUUUGCGAUUGAGCACAUUGUGAGAACUGCCCUUGAAAAGGGGAGGAAGGUGUAGGCUACG
rnacentral:rRNA from 1 species